UGGGGAAUAUUGCACAAUGGGCGCAAGCCUAAUGCAGCCAUGCCGCGUGUAUGAAGAAGGCCUUCGGGUUGUAAAGUACUUUCAGUCGGGAGGAAGGUGUCAAGGUUAAUAACCUUGGCAAUUGACGUUACCGACAGAAGAAGCACCGGCUAACUCCGUGCCAGCAGCCGCGGUAAUACGGAGGGUGCAAGCGUUAAUCGGAAUUACUGGGCGUAAAGCGCACGCAGGCGGUUGAUUGAGUCAGAUGUGAAAUCCCCGGGCUUAACCCGGGAAUUGCAUCUGAUACUGGUCAGCUAGAGUCUUGUAGAGGGGGGUAGAAUUCCAUGUGUAGCGGUGAAAUGCGUAGAGAUGUGGAGGAAUACCGGUGGCGAAGGCGGCCCCCUGGACAAAGACUGACGCUCAGGUGCGAAAGCGUGGGGAGCAAACAGG
rnacentral:rRNA from 1 species